GGGUGGAGCCUGGCUGCACCUCUCCUGAGGCCCAUUUAAGAGCUGAAUGCCAAUGGGGAAGGAGCUCUUCUGGAGAUUUCCCUCUGCUGCAGUUUCAUAAGUGAGCUCAGGAUACAGCCCUUACAGUCACUGGGAAAUAACGAAGCCGACAUGCUGGCCCAAGUUCGAUGGAUUGAGAAUUUACCAUCUGAGAACAUCGCCCGUUGGUUACAUCAGAAGCUACAGCAUGCAGAACAAAAGACAGUGUGGGCAGCUGCUAAAGCAUGGGGACUGCCCAUACAGCUACCUGACAUCAUCCAGGAUUGCGAUGCUUGCUCUAAGAGAGACCAAGAUCGUUGCCCGAAACAACAGCCCAUCUUGCUAGAGGACACAAUCCUCUCCAGUGAUGGCAGGUCGAUUACAUUAGGCCCUUCCUUGGUCUGAGGGGGUGAGAUACACCCUGACCUGCGUCGACACUGCAAGUGGACUGCUGCAGGCCUAUACAGUGCUGAAAGCAAACCAGGCAUAUACCAUCAAGGCACUCACUAAACUGAUGUCUGCCUACAGGACAGCUCAAGUCAUUGAGAGUGACCAAGGGGUUCAUUUUACUGGUGCAACAAUACAACCCUGAGCAAAAGAAAAUAAUUUUGAAUGGUGAUUCCACCUGCCGUAUAAUCCAACGGGGGCAGGCCUCAUUGAAUGUUAUAACAGCACUCUUAAGGCUGCCCUGAAGACAGACUCCCAGUCCCUGCAGGGGUGGAUGAAAAGACUUUAUGAAACCUUGCAGGACCUGAAUGAAAGACCUCAAGACGGCAGACUCAGUGCCCUGAGAAUGUUGCAGACAACAUGGGCUACCCUGCUUGGGAUCCAAGUUACGGGCACUGAUCAUCAGCCACAGACAUCUGGCCAGAAGGUGUGGUACAGGCAGCCAGGAUGUGCCCCAGUACAAGCAGAAGUGUUGACCCUGGAUAGAAAUACAGCCUGUAUCUGGAGAGCAGACCUUCCCCUCCUGGUACCUCUGACACAUCUGUAUUACUCCCUGUGAGUCUGUGAGCCUUCAGGAUCACCAGAAGGAACAAAAUGCCAUCAAGCACUCCAGUGUUGCUGUCAGAUCACGUGCAACACCUGGUGAUGGUCUGCAUGGGACUGAUGGAACAUAGCACGGACCUGCACCUCAUGACCGCGUGCCUCCAGUUACAUCAUCGAGCACUGGCCUACAGAAGAAUAUGGACAUCCACUGAUCAUCACUCAUCUUGAAUUGUACCAACAUGCGUUGGGGUGGAAAUGGUGUAAGUGUUGCGAUAUAGCGGAUCUCUGUAUUAGGAAAAGCUCAACCUGAUCAUUUGUUCAUGCUGUGAAGGGGUGGAGUGUAUGGGAAUUGCUGAAUCAUGGCCUGAACCUCUGACUGAUCACCUGAGGCAAGCACUGAGUCAGCCAUGGGAGCACAGGUGAAGGCAAUUCUCCUGUGCUGCUGGAAGGAGUGGAGCCUGGCUGCACCUCUCUUAGAUCCAUUGAAGAGCUGACUGCCAGUGGGGAAGGAUCUCUUCUGGAGAUGGAGCUUCAUAAGUGAGCUCAGGAUACAGGUGAGUGUCCUAUCUUUUCUGCUUUGGUGUGAUAACUAUGUGGCCAAGCUCUUUGAUAUACUGUAACAUCUGUACAUUCAUUGAUUGUACACUUGGCGAGGCAGGCAUGCCGAAUAUACUUUAUACCGUGUCCUUUCUGUGGAAUUUCUAUAAAUGGGUCAGGGGAGAACAUCACUCCUUUAGAUAAAACGAUCCCUGGAGAGAUCCCAGAGUUUCUGGGUUCUACUUAUUACUAAUUAGCUACCAUUGUUGAGAAAUGGGGUCCCCCUGUGUUCUGUGGGCAAUAUUUCUCUUCUGUGUGAUGGAAUACUUUCAAGGAUUAGACAGAGACAUCCUAACUACAAAAGAAAGGCAGUUAGCUGCCUCCACAGUGGCAUAGCCACUGUUAAAUGCCUUAAAUCAAGCUGAGAUAAGAGCACCUUGACACCUUGGAAAGUGAAAAUCAGCUAUUAAAAGAUGGUAUUGAAAAACUGGAAUGGGUACUUACUGUAUUAACAGGGAAAAGACCAAGUUUACAUUCCCUGAUAGGUCAGGUCUACAGUAUUUCUAUAGAUAAUAGCUACACCUCUGAAGUAACACACCUGGUUGAACAGGAAAACAAAAACUCUGAGUCAGAUUUCCACUUAUGGCGGAUUGUUUAGAACUCCGUAACUACGUAGCCAAGCUCUUUGGUUUACUAUAACAUCUGUAUAUUCAUUGAUUGUACACAGGUGCUUGUAAAACAUCUCAAGUUAUGAUCCUUUUUUCCCCUAGUUACUCUAUUCAGGUUCCUAAGUAGCCGAAUGAAAGUGAUUUUGACUCUGGUGCUUAUGGAAAGAAUGGACACAAUGCCAUACUCUUUUUUUCAGUUCAAGUUUUACUCCCAAUUGCACAAAGGUUGAAAAGGUUUUCAGAGGUUGAAAAUCAGUAUAAUAAUUUUGGUUUCAUGUAUAAAACCACAACCAGAAGGAUACAGGAAUUGUGUGAUGGUUCCAACAUGCAGCAUGGAAGUGUCAUACAAACUAAUUUUAUCUUAUACAAUGUUUUUCUUCUACAUUCUCUGCUUCUCCAAUGAUAACUGUACAACAUCUGCAGAUUUGUAAGGUUAAAAUAUUUUGAUAAGAUACCAC